UCAAACAAAGGGGAUUUUAACCCCUACCCCUAGCCCCCAAAGCUAGGAUCCUAAUUUAGACUAUUGUUUG
rnacentral:tRNA from 1 species